UUUAAAAAGCUUCAUAGUAAAUUAUUUAAAUUACAGAGGCGAUACUCUUAAAUUUAGAAUAAGAUAUCCCUUGUUUUCCGAUGAAUUCGACAUGAGUUUUCUCAUCUAUUCGUUUUUACAAUUCAAAACAAGACAGAUAUUUACUUUAAAAUAUGGAAAUUCUUCGGAUUUAAUAAUAGUGGCAAUCGAGCUCUCUGGUCUCUGGGUAUGGCCUUUUAAAGGCAACUAUCAGCUUUGAUUGCCAAUAAUUUUAGUAAUUACAGUGAAUAUAACUAAUAAUUUUAAAACAAAUAAACUUUAUGAUUUAAUCUUGGAAGAUUUUUUUAUGCAUGAAAAUUUCAAAGAGCUCUCAAAAAAAUUUGAUCAACAUAUCUCUCUUCUUCAUAAACUCAAACUCUGCUGCAUUUAAUAAAAAAAGGGGGAAAGAAGUCAAAUAUAAGUGCAAAUGAGAAAGACUAGGCAUAAUAGAACGAACACCACUAACACAAUCAAUACUUCUAUUUCCAUUUUGACCAGAAAAAAAUUUGAAUUUUAUUAGAUAUUUAAUAAAUGAAGAUUGUUGAAAAUUAUUAA